CCUACGGGUGACAGCAGUGAGGAAUAUUGGUCAAUGGGCGUAAGCCUGAACCAGCCAAGUCGCGUGAGGGAUGAAGGUUCUAUGGAUCGUAAACCUCUUUUAUAAGGGAAUAAAGGGCGGGACGUGUCCCGUUUUGUAUGUACCUUAUGAAUAAGGAUCGGCUAACUCCGUGCCAGCAGCCGCGGUAAUACGGAGGAUCCGAGCGUUAUCCCGAUUUAUUGUGUUUAAAGGGUGCGUAGGCGGCCUGUUAAGUCAGCGGUUAAAGUCUGUGGCUCAACCAUAAAAUUGCCGUUGAAACUGGGAGGCUUGAGUAUGUUUGAGGCAGGCGGAAUGCGUGGUGGAGCGGUGACAUGCUUAGAUAGCACGCAGAACCCCGAUUGCGAAGGCAGCUUGCCAAGCCAUGACUGACGCUGAUGCACGAAAGCGUGGGUAUCAAACAGGAUUAGAUACCCGAGUAGUC
rnacentral:rRNA from 1 species